rfam:Oryza sativa (indica cultivar-group) chromosome 10, whole genome shotgun sequence.
CUUCAUUAUACUCAUGAGUUUAUAUGUCCAAUUUUGAUCGAUCGUUUUAUUUGAAUUUUUUUAUGAUUAAUAUUUUUAUUGUUAUUAGAUGAUAAAAUAUAAAUAGUAAUUUACACAUGACUUAUGUUUUUUAUUUUUUUAAAAAAAAUUAAAUAAUACGGAUGAUUAAAAUUGAACACGGAAACUUAUGAUUGUACUUAAA